GACGAACGCUGGCGGCGUGCCUAAUACAUGCAAGUAGAACGCUGAAGAGAGGAGCUUGCUCUUCGUGGAUGAGUUGCGAACGGGUGAGUAACGCGUAGGUAACCUGCCUUGUAGCGGGGGUUAACUAUUGGAAACGAUAGCUAAUACCGCAUAACAAUGGAUGACACAUGUUAUUUAUUUGAAAGGGGCAAUUGCUCCACUACAAGAUGGACCUGCGUUGUAUUAGCUAGUAGGUGAGGUAUUGGCUCACCUAGGCGACGGUACAUAACCGACCUGAGAGGGUGAUCGGCCACACUGGGACUGAGACACGGCCCAGACUCCUUCGGGAGGCAGCAGUAGGGAAUCUUCGGCGAUGGGGGGAAGCCUGACCGAGCAACGCCGCGUGAGUGAAGAAGGUUUUCGGAUCGUAAAGCUCUGUUGUAAGUCAAGAACGGGUGUGAGAGUGGAAAGUUCACACUGUGACGGUAGCUUACCAGAAAGGGACGGCUAACUACGUG
rnacentral:rRNA from 1 species